UACGUAGGGGGCUAGCGUUGUCCGGAAUCAUUGGGCGUAAAGCGCGUGUAGGCGGUCCGGUAAGUCCGCUGUGAAAGUCGGGGGCUCAACCCUCGAAAGCCGGUGGAAACUGUCGGGCUAGAGUACGGAAGAGGCGAGUGGAAUUCCUGGUGUAGCGGUGAAAUGCGCAGAUAUCAGGAGGAACACCAAUUGCGAAGGCAGCUCGCUGGGACGUUACUGACGCUGAGACGCGAAAGCCAGGGGAGCAAACGGG
rnacentral:rRNA from 1 species